CAAGCUUUGCGUAAUGUUUGGCUGUGGGACUCUGCAUAUGUUCCCAUCAGUUGCUGGAGGAAGUCUCUUCGUUCUCUUUGAUAAGAAUUCUGUGAGGCUCCAGUUCCAGAGCCCUGCAGGUCCUCUCAGUAUAGGAGCAAGCUCCAUUGCAGGGUUCCAAGGACCUUGAAGGUAAAAAGAUUUCUUUUUAACAACAAAUACAGGAGAAUUCCAAAGGCUGUUUGAUUCUUCAAUAUGCUGAGCAUCUAGUUGCUUUGUACCAGCUGUUCUGAAGCCUGGAGCUUCUCUGUUAAAGGCCACUGAGCAACUGAUAA